UACGUAGGGUGCAAGCGUUGUCCGGAAUUAUUGGGCGUAAAGAGCUCGUAGGCGGUUUGUUGCGUCGGCUGUGAAAUCCCGAGGCUCAACCUCGGGUCUGCAGUCGAUACGAGCAAACUAGAGUGUUGCAGGGGAGACUGGAAUUCCUGGUGUAGCGGUGAAAUGCGCAGAUAUCUGGAGGAACACCGGUGGCGAAGGCGGCAUCCUGGACCGGUAUUGACGCUGAUGCGCGAAAGCCAGGGGAGCAAACGGG
rnacentral:rRNA from 1 species